UACAGAGGGGGCAAGCGUUGUUCGGAAUUACUGGGCGUAAAGGGCGCGUAGGUGGCCUGUUAAGUCGAACGUGAAAUCCCCGGGCUCAACCCGGGAACUGCGUCCGAUACUGGCAGGCUUGAAUUCGGGAGAGGGAUGCGGAAUUCCAGGGUGUAGCGGUGAAAUGCGUAGAUAUCUGGAGGAACACCGGUGGCGAAGGCGGCAUCCUGGACCGAGAUUGACGCUGAGGCGCGAAAGCCAGGGGAGCAAAACGGGG
rnacentral:rRNA from 1 species